CGACGAAUAGGGACUAUCUGGGAGCACCGGCAAACGGAGCAUGUUUGCAGAGCGCCAGGAAAAAACCCAGAGGAUGGAGUCUGCAGAGCAGAGAAAGACCGCGGCGGCCCUGCCCUCCUCUGGGCCCCAUUGUCUUUCCCUCCUGUUUAAAAAUCCACAAGGUACUUGACCAGGUGCAGUGGCUCACGCCUGUAAUCACAGCACUUUGGGAGGCCGAGGCGGGUGGAUCACGAGGUCAGGAGUUUGAGACCAGCCUGACUAACAUGGAGAAACCCCGUCCCUACUAAAAAUACAAAAAUUAGCCGGGAGUGGUGGCACGCGCCUGUAAUCCCAGCUACUCAGGAGGCUGAGGCAGGAGAAGUGCUUGAAUCCAGGAGGCGGAGGUUGCAGUGAGCCGAGAUUGCGCCACGGCACUCCAGCCUGGGCGACAGAGCCGCAGUUCGUGGUGAAAAGUAGGCCCGUUUUUUGACAGUCUUCUCUGUCAAAAAAAAAAAAAAAAAAAAAUCCACACGGUGAGAGCUCCAGUGGCGUCAGGAUGCACGUUUCUCCAUCUCCGUUCCGUGAGCUUCAUCGCGGGUAGAAAAUGGCUUGGUCGCUGGUAGGGUAGAAGGGGCAGGAAACGGACGUAAGUGGGAGGGACGGUCAGGCACUGACGGCAGAGUUUGAAUUUCCUAGGAGCCGAGGCACUUUAGUAGUUUUAUCACACUCCAAAUAAAUCCAAGUUCAAACCCGCAGUUGAAUACACUCCGAAUCUGAUCUAGAAUAAAAAAUUGUUUAGCUAUGGUUACUGGCCGCCCGGCUAGCUCAGUCGGUAGAGCAUGAGACUCUUAAUCUCAGGGUCGUGGGUUCGAGCCCCACGUUGGGCGAUAAAUGGCCAUUUUACUCCUAAACCUGCAAUUACUAGCCAUACCUAAAAA